CUAUAUGUGAUUCCUUCGAUGUUGUCUUCUGCCGUCAAUUUGAGCUUUUUGAAUUCGUGUUCCUUGCUUCUGCCUUGGAGUUCUUCUUGUGAUGCUGCGUUAAUUGCGUCAGCCGGUGGUUGCCACGGAGCUUUUACUUUUCCGCUAG
rnacentral:rRNA from 1 species